rnacentral:rRNA from 1 species
UACAGAGGUCUCAAGCGUUGUUCGGAUUCAUUGGCGUAAAGGGUGCGUAGGCGGUCGUGACAAGUCACUUGUGAAAUCUCCGGGCUUAACUCGGAACGGUCAAGUGAUACUGUCGGACUAGAGUACAGAAGGGGCAACUGGAAUUCCCAGUGUAGCGGUGAAAUGCGUAGAUAUUGGGAAGAACACCUGAGGCGAAGGCGGGUUGCUGGGCUGACACUGAC